UUACGGUUACAGCACGUUUGAACACCGGCUCCCGCACGAUCACCGAAGUUAAGCAAUCGAGUCUCUUCAGUACCUAGAUGGGUGACCGUUUUGGAAUACAAGAUACUGUAAG